GCGCUUCCGUUUGAACAUCGGUGAAACGUCAGUUACCUCGCGACGAUCUUUCCGCGAGGACUUUGUCCGAUCGCGCGCUCGCGGAAACGUUCUCGAUUAUCUUGAUUGCGUCGCGCUCGUUUACAGCCAGUUCCCCCGUUUAACUUUAUAUGCGUAGAUUAGUUAACCUUGGCUGUGCCAGUGCUGCAAUCUUGAAAGAGAAACCGGAGCGUUGUCAGUUUUCCGGUUCCGAUUGUCUUUCCGGUUCUGUUCGACGGUUAACCGCAGUGUAGGAAGAGUUGCGUUGGACGCGCAUUACGAUUCUUCCCUUCAACUUUCGUUAUUUAAUACGUACGUUAAUUCAUCUUAGGUCUUUUUGUUGCUAUCGCUUGAAGAAGGAAAAAAAAAGAAACGAGAAAUUUAUUUUCCGGAAGAAACUUUUUGCCAAACGGAGUUAAAAUGGAGAUGCAGAGAUGAAAGGGAUGAAUAAAAAGCGUGAGUUCCGUAUGCGUUUUCAGCGUCAAGUUCGAGAUAAGAUGAAGAAAUAUUAAGAUUCGUAUCGUUUUCACAUUUCUCCGUUUCAUCCCGGAAAUAAUCGGGAACUAGCGUUACGCAAAGUGAUCUCGCUGUCGCGCCCGCAACUUGUCAGAGUUAACCGAAUUUGGUCGCUCCUGUAGACUCGUGGUGCGCCGGGGAUUUGCGACAAUUGGCACCAUGUCAGAGGUGAGACGCGGAGGGAAGUAUAAGAGAGGUGAGUGACGUCGUUGCCAACAGUCAUCAUCAGAUGUCGUCUUGGCCGCGAUUCGUUCGCGGCACGUUCGUGUCUGCCUGUGCAGCUGAUACGCUCGGCUCGUCGUCGGCGGCGAGUAGCGUUAGUGGAGUCCGAUCGAUUUGCUGAUCAUCGCGGAUCGGCGAAUUGGUGCUUCGCAUGUGACCCCAGUGCACGCGCGAUAACCGCGCUUCGCUCGCGCGUUUUCCAGUGGAAACUUCGAUUGCCGCGAUCGAUUCCUCGAUGCGGGCCGAAUAUUAAAUAUCCGAAUCUCUGGUGUAGGACGAGUUUCGAAUAGUCAUCCGGGAAAUAUCGGUGCGUCUGAUACACCAGCCAGCGUCUCCGAUCACGUUUGUUCGAUACGCGAUGUGAAACUGUGACGUAGAGAGAGAGAGAGAGAGAAAGAUCGCGAGCAGUGCCGCAGCAGGUGCAUAUUGAUUCGACGAUCGACAACGUUAUCGAAACGCGGAAGGAAUGGCGUUAUUCUCCGGUGGCGGUAGCGGUGCCGGUGGUGGCGGUGGCGGGCCGCCCAUUAAACCGGAAGAUAGCAUCCCUUCCAGGCAACGGAGUCUCAAGGAUCGGCUGCGAGAAGGAAUCACCGGCGGAUUCGCUUGGCAGUGAGUAUACAUCGCCGGCGUGAUUUACGCAAUGGAGAAAACCGUACGGGGGGAUUCGUUUUUAACUUCCACACGACCCUUCGCUGCUUUAGCAUCCUUUGUACUUGAUUUUCUCCCACGUCCUCCUCUUGCCAGCCGUAAUUUUCUUCCACGCUCUUAAAGGAUUUGCUCUGAGACGUUAAUAAACGCUACUGAUGGUAUUACAUCGUUAAACGGAACUUUGCGAAACGUCAGGCUGUAAGAGUUAUAAAACUAGACUGGAUGAGAACAGAGUAUAUAUUCCGAUGAUAUAUAUACUUUUCUUAUCUUUUAAUCGCCAAAUAAUGAUUUAGUUUGGAAAAGGUGUUUACUCACACAUCGACGCAAGACAACGUGUACAAGUACGUAUACUUCAGGCUAAUUAUUUUUCGAAUUGUAAGUCUUGUGGCUUCGUGAAACGGGAAAGAAGUGAAAUUAUUUUAGAGGAGAAUAAGAAAUCUUUCCGCGCUAUGUGCUAUUCUGUCAUAUCGUUCUUGAUUAAGGAUGUUUUAGCUCUACAGUACCGGCUAAAAAUGGAAAUUUAAAAACUGCAGGUUUCUUAGAGUUAUUCUUUUUUUUUUUUCGAAUCAGUGACAAAAAUUUUCGAUAAUAUCUAAUAAAAAAUCGUAAUUUUAGGGCUAUCACAAAUUACAAAAAAAAAAAAACAACGGGAAAUUUGAGCUAUAAUGAUUUAUACAACGAGAUGAUUAUAUUUUGCUGCAGUUUUAGGUAAAUGUACAUAACUUUUAAACGAGUAAGUGAAUCCAAAUAAACUACGAAUAUUUAUUAGAGUUUUAUUACGUGCAAAACGUGUACGUGCAAAAUUUAAUUUAAUUCGUAAUGCUAUUUUCUGAUCAAAUUUGCACAUAUUGCGUUGUAAAACGUGAUUUUGCAUAAGAAUCAAGAGUAAACAAAAAAUUAAAUCAUUUUUUAACUAAUAAGGGAAUAAAAAAUUUUAUAAGAAUGUUCGAAUUUUGAAACGUAAUAAUAGAGCAAUCUACAAUAUUUUUGAUAAUAUUUUAAUAUAUAACACACAUAUAUCUUUAAAGUUUUCGCGCACUUUUUUCUAUUCGAACAAAUCGUAUUUCGUAACGUAACGUAAACGUUUCGCGAGGCAUUCAAUAAUUAAUAUGCACCCCUUACAGUACAGCGUAUUGUAUCGCACGAACCGUAUUAUGAUUAUUUAACGUCGCAAUUGUUAACGCGAUAUCGCCCCGGGAGAAUGCGAUUAACGCUGUAGAAAACUUUAUGAAUUGGGCGCAUAAUUUUUGCACGGGAAUUUUUUCUCCCUCGAAACCCCGGACUCGGUGUAUAGCGCGUGUUACAUUAUAAAGUAAGGAUUAUCGAUCAUUUUAAUAAAUGAGCGGUGUGUGAAACCGCCAUUACCAUAAGACCGGAUAAGCCGGACAGUGUAUAUAGUAGAAAGUGUACCCAGCAGAUGGCGGUCGCAGGUACUCUGAUUAUUAUCCACUUUUAUAAUGCAUUAUCAUAUCAGCGUCUUCAGAAAAAAAAAAAA